rnacentral:rRNA from 1 species
GGGUCAGUAGGUUGGUCGUGCCACCGGUACGUACUGGUCUCACUGAUUCCUCCUUCCUGAAGAACCGUAAUGCCAUUAAUUUGGUGUUGCGGGGAAACAGGACUGUUACUUUGAAAAAAUUAGAGUGUUUAAAGCAAGCUAAUGCUUGAAUACAUUAGCAUGGAAUAAUGUAAUAGGACGAUCGAUCCUAUUUUGUUGGUUUCUAGGAUUGACGUA